CCUACGGGAGGCAGCAGUGGGGAAUAUUGCACAAUGGGGGAAACCCUGAUGCAGCGACGCCGCGUGAGUGAAGAAGUAUUUCGGUACGUAAAGCUCUAUCAGCAGGGACGAAAAUGACGGUACCUGACUAAGAAGCCCCGGCUAACUACGUGCCAGCAGCCGCGGUAAUACGUAGGGGGCAAGCGUUAUCCGGAUUUACUGGGUGUAAAGGGAGCGUAGACGGCAGCGCAAGUCUGGAGUGAAAUCCCAUGGCUUAACCAUGGAACUGCUUUGGAAACUGUGCAGCUAGAGUGCAGGAGAGGUAAGCGGAAUUCCGAGUGUAGCGGUGAAAUGCGUAGAUAUUAGGAGGAACACCAGUGGCGAAGGCGGCUUACUGGACUGUAACUGACGUUGAGGCUCGAAAGCGUGGGGAGCAAACAGGAUUAGAUACCCCUGUAGUC
rnacentral:rRNA from 1 species